GAUCCUGGCUUAGGAUGAACGCUAGCGACAGGCUUAACACAUGCAAGUCGAGGGGCAGCAUAAAAGUAGCAAUACUUGGUGGCGACCGGCGCACGGGUGAGUAACGCGUAUGCAACCUACCUAUCAGAGGGGAAGUAACCCGGCGAAAGUCGGACUAAUACCGCAUAAAACAGGGACACCGCAUGGUGAUAUUUGUUAAAGAAAUUCGCUGAUAGAUGGGCAUGCGUUCCAUUAGGUAGUUGGUGAGGUAACGGCUCACCAAGCCGACGAUGGAUAGGGGAACUGAGAGGUUGGUCCCCCACACUGGUACUGAGACACGGACCAGACUCCUACGGGAGGCAGCAGUGAGGAAUAUUGGUCAAUGGGCGAGAGCCUGAACCAGCCAAGUCGCGUGGAAAAGGAAGAAGGAUCUAUGGUUCGUAAACUUCUUUUGCAGGGGAAUAAAGUGCAGGACGUGUCCUGUUUUGUAUGUACCCUGAGAAUAAGGAUCCGGCUAACUCCGUGCCAGCCGCAGC
rnacentral:rRNA from 1 species